rnacentral:rRNA from 1 species
GGACGAACGCUGGCGGCGUGCUUAACACAUGCAAGUCGAACGGAAAGGCCCCCCCCUUGGUGGGGGUGCUCGAGUGGCGAACGGGUGAGUAACACGUGGGUGAUCUGCCCUGUACUUCGGGAUAAGCUUGGGAAACUGGGUCUAAUACCGGAUAGGACCAUGGUUUAGUGUCUCAUGGUGGAAAAAUUAUUGUUUUGGUGCAGGAUGAGCUCGCGGCCUAUCAGCUUGUUGGUGGGGUAAUGGCCUACCAAGGCGUCGACGGGUAGCCGGCCUGGGAGGGUGGACGGCCAACUUGGGACUGAGAUACGGCCCAGACGCCUACGGGAGGCAGCAGUGGGGAAUAUUGAACAAUGGGCGCAAGCCUGAUGCAGCGACGCCGCGUGGGGGAUGACGGCCUUCGGGUUGUAAACUCCUUUCGUUAGGGACGAAGCCACACCUUUGUGGGGUGUGGUGACGGGACCUUUGUUAAGAAGCACCGGCUAACUACGUG